AUGAACGCUGGCGGCGUGCUUAACACAUGCAAGUCGGACGGGAAAUAUUUCAUUGAGACUUCGGUGGAUUUGAUCUAUUUCUAGUGGCGGACGGGUGAGUAACGCGUGGGUAACCUGCCUUAUACAGGGGGAUAACAGUCAGAAAUGGCUGCUAAUACCGCAUAAGCGCACAGAGCUGCAUGGCUCAGUGUGAAAAACUCCGGUGGUAUAAGAUGGACCCGCGUUGGAUUAGCUAGUUGGUGGGGUAACGGCCCACCAAGGCGACGAUCCAUAGCCGGCCUGAGAGGGUGAACGGCCACAUUGGGACUGAGACACGGCCCAGACUCCUACGGGAGGCAGCAGUGGGGAAUAUUGCACAAUGGGGGAAACCCUGAUGCAGCGACGCCGCGUGAAGGAAGAAGUAUCUCGGUAUGUAAACUUCUAUCAGCAGGGAAGAUAGUGACGGUACCUGACUAAGAAGCCCCGGCUAACUACGUGCCAGCAGCCGCGGUAAUACGUAGGGGGCAAGCGUUAUCCGGAUUUACUGGGUGUAAAGGGAGCGUAGACGGUGUGGCAAGUCUGAUGUG
rnacentral:rRNA from 1 species